rnacentral:rRNA from 1 species
CAAAAGGGACAGUAAUGUGUAGGUACCUACCCCUGGGUUCGGGAUAGCUGCGGGAAACUGCAGGUAAUACCGAAUAACGUCUCCGGACCAAAGGUGUGAUUCCACCUGGGGAGGGGCCUGCAUCCUAUUAGCUUGUUGGCGGGGUAACGGCCCACCAAGGCAACGAUGGGUAGCGGGUGUGAGAGCACGACCCGCGUCAUUGGGACUGAGAUACUGCCCAGACACCUACGGGUGGCUGCAGUCGAGGAUCUUCGGCAAUGGGCGAAAGCCUGACCGAGCGACGCCGCGUGCGGGAUGAAGGCCUUCGGGUUGUAAACCGCUGUCGUUGGGGAGGAAAUGCAGGGGGGUUCUCCCCUCUGUUUGACCUAUCCAAGGAGGAAGUACGGGCUAAGUUCGUGCCAGCAGCCGCGGUAAGACGAACCGUACGAACGUUAUUCGGAAUUACUGGGCUUAAAGGGUGCGUAGGCUGCGCGGAAAGUUGGGUGUGAAAGCCCUCAGCUCAACUGAGGAACUGCACUCAAAACUACCGUGCUCGAGGGAGACAGAGGUGAGCGGAACUCAAGGUGGAGCGGUGAAAUGCGUUGAUAUCUUGAGGAACACCGGUGGCGAAAGCGGCUCACUGGGUCUUUUCUGACGCUGAGGCACGAAAGCCAAGGUAGCAAACGGGAUUAGAUACCCCGGUAGUCUUGGCUGUAAACGAUGAGCACUUGAUUGAAGGGUCCUCCAUAGCCUUUCAGUCGUAGCGAAAGUGUUAAGUGCUCCGCCUGGGGAGUAUGGUCGCAAGGCUGAAACUCAAAGAAAUUGACGGGGGCUCACACAAGCGGUGGAGGAUGUGGCUUAAUUCGAGGCUACGCGAAGAACCUUAUCCUAGUCUUGACAUGCUUGGAUUAACCCUGUGAAAGCAGGGCCACGCCUUCGGGUGGAACAAGCACAGGUGCUGCAUGGCUGUCGUCAGCUCGAGUCGUGAGAUGUCGCGUUAAGUCGCUUAACGAGCGAAACCCUUGUCACUAGUUGCCAGCACGUAAUGGUGGGGACUCUAGUGAGACCGCCGGCGUUAAGCCGGAGGAAGGUGGGGAUGACGUCAAGUCCUCAUGGCCCUUAUGACUAGGGCUGCACACGUCCUACAAU